rnacentral:lncRNA from 1 species
GUUAACAUAAUUAAAGUUUAGAGUUUCUUUCGUGGAAUUUUUAGUUGAGGAUUAUUUUUAUGAUCCAUCUUUAGCUGAAGGGUUUUAUUACUAAAAAUCCUAGAUAUAACUUGAUUUUUUUUAACUCUUCCCGUUAGGGUGAUCUUAUAUUUGAUAUCUUUUUAAAAAAACAAAAAAAAGAUAUUGUCGAUUUAUAUUAUGAUUUUAAAAUAAAAAAAAUAAAAUAAAAAUAAAAAAUAGUAGUAGUUACUUUAAAAAAAAUUAACGUCGUCAGCAAAACACUAAACUUUAAAUCAUAAUCCAUAAAUUAUUGGGUAAACCCUAAACCCUUCGGUAAAUCUUAAACAUUUGGAUAAAUUCUAAAUUCUAAAUGAAAAACACUAAGCACUCAAGGGUUUAGGAUUUAAAAUUUAGAGUUUAGGGUUCAGUGUUUUAGUGUUUAGUGUUUUUGAUUUAGAAUUUAAAAUUUAUUCAAGGGUUUAGGGUUUACCCAAGGGUUUAGACUUUAGGAUUUAGCUGACGAUGUUAAAAAAAAUAUUUGUAACUACUAUUAUUUUUUAUUUAUUUUUUACUUUUUAUUUUUAAAUCGUAAUAUAACUUGACAAUAUUUUUUUUCAUUUUCU